ensembl:lncRNA
CGUGGCCCUUGUGGUGGUGCUGGGCAGGCCAAGCCUUGCCACAGCCAUGCAGGCCAUAAGAUGCGCAAGGAAAAGCAAGUUGCUUGAACCAUGGGGUAGAAGUGUUUUGGGGAAGCAGCACCUCGCAGGAGGGCUAGGGCAGCUGCCACCAGCCCUGAGAGGGGUUCGCUCAGCUGUGCGGCCUGACCAGGUAAUGAAGCACUUUGGAGACAAGGAGUAUGUGCUCUGCAAGGCAAGAGAAAGAGCUGUUUUCCAGUGGCCUCCCAGGCCAGGAGUUGCACAGCUUUUGGACGCGUGCUGGCCUUGUGCAGCCCGCCAGGGAGAUGGGCUGCGCAAAGCCUCCUGAUGGUCUGGUGGAGAAGAACAGCUACAGGAGAGGAGCAGAAAUCAAUGUCAGGGAUGGGAAUAAAGGCAACAGAGGCAGUGCUCGUACAAAACCAGCCCAGCAAAAGGAAGGUGUCAGCAGCCAUGGACGUACCGAGAGGAGCACGGACACUCAGAAGAUCUGCUGGCCAAGUGAGCAGUGACAGAAACUGCCAGCCUCUGAGAUGGGCUCUUCUGGCUUACUCUGGAGCUGUUCUUCAAGGCAAGUGUUACAUCUGCUCUGUGCCACCAGCAUGUCAGCAGGGAGCUGGGGCAGCUGUGGCCUUUGGGAAGAGAGGGCACCCAUCCUCAGCGUGCAGCAGAGAGCAGUACAACAGUAUGUGA